rnacentral:rRNA from 1 species
UUGGGGAUUUAUAUAAAAGGUUGGGCCUGCCCGGUGAUCUGAAAUGGUUUAACGGCUGCGAUUGAAACCGUACUAAGGUAGCAUAAUAAUUUGCCCUUUAAUUGGGGGAGAGAAUGAAUGGUUUGACGGUAAAAAAGCUGUUUUAAAAAUAAAAAAAGAAGUUAACUUUUAAGUGAAAAGGCUUAAGUUUUUAUAAAAGACGAGAAGACCCCGUCGAGCUUAAUUAGAAUAACUUAAAUGUAGGUUAUUUAAAAUUUUAUUGGGGCAAUAGAAAAUGAAAUGAAUCAUUUUUUUUAUUAUAAGGAUCCAGUUUUGACUGAAAAAAGCAAAAGCUACCGCGGGGAUAACAGGGUAAUUUUUUCUGAGAGUUCAUAUUUAAAAAGAAGUUUGCUACCUCGAUGUUGGAUUAGAAUUUCUUUAUGCUUGCAGCAGGUAUAAUAGU